GAGAGUCGGAGUGCUGCUGGAGGGAGAGCCGCCGCUAGUAGUACCUGUGCCCAGAUGGAAAUUCAGAAUAUCUUGAGUUCUGUGUAGCUGACCAACUCAGAGAAUAUGCUGAAUGCAUUGUGUUGGAACACAAGGAUGGGCCCUGCAGUACUCACUGGCCACAAGCAAUUCCUUCCCAGCACUUUCUCCUGUGGUCAUAAUGAAAAAUGUACUGGUCAAACAGGUAGGGGGGGAAUAAUAAUAAUAUAUUGGAAAGUAUGUUUUCCUUUCAGAAGGGCACUUCGCAAAUAACUCUUUUAAAGGAUGACAUUCAUCUAACUUGUUGCUACACUCAUAGAAUCAUAGUAUCAGUAGAAGAUAUAUUAAAGUGAGUCUGUCCCUGGCCAGAGGCAGGCUAACAUCACCAAGAUAUAUCAAAUAUAAGUUUCUUAAGCCUCAUACAUCUUUGUUAAAUCUCUUUAUUUUAAAGGGAUCCUGGAAAGAUAAAAGACAUAUUUAGAAAAAAUACUAUUAGCACCUCAGAUUAUUUAAAUGAAAGAAUUUUAGAAAUCUAGCGUACUUUCUGCAUUGAUGCUUUGCUACGUUACUACUCCUAGGGGAAUUCUAUGCCAAAAAAUUUAAAAUGCUGUGCAAUAUAUUUUAAAAUUCUGCAAACUGCAUAUUUUAUUUGUCAAAAUAACACAAUAUAAAAAAAAUGCCAGUUUCAAUUAUUUUGGUAAUAUAUUUCAACAUACCUGUCAGCAAGUAUGUCUGUAACACUACAGACAACAGAUUCAGGAAAUGUUUUUUGACAAAUAGAUUCCUUAGUAGACAUAUUAAUACAGAACUUUGAGUAAUAAUUUAAACUACAAUACAGAACUGUAUUUCCCGCACCCCUCAGAAGCAGUGUAAAGGCUUGUGGGAGUUACGUCUAACGGAGGAGCUGAGGGAGAGAGAAGUAAUUGCUGGGAAGGAGCCUGGGUGUGCACGUGGAGGGUUGU
rnacentral:lncRNA from 1 species